CAGUAGCCGCGGUAAUACGUAGGUGGCAAGCGUUGUCCGGAAUUAUUGGGCGUAAAGCGCGCGCAGGUGGUUUAAUAAGUCUGAUGUGAAAGCCCACGGCUCAACCGUGGAGGGUCAUUGGAAACUGUUAAACUUGAGUGCAGGAGAGAAAAGUGGAAUUCCUAGUGUAGCGGUGAAAUGCGUAGAGAUUAGGAGGAACACCAGUGGCGAAGGCGGCUUUUUGGCCUGUAACUGACACUGAGGCGCGAAAGCGUGGGGAGCAAACAGGAUUAGAUACCCGUGUAGUCCCUGUCUCUUAUAC
rnacentral:rRNA from 1 species